AGAGUUUGAUUCUGGCUCAGAACGAACGCUGGCGGCGUGGAUAAGACAUGCAAGUCGAACGAGAGAAUUGCUAGCUUGCUAAUAAUUCUCUAGUGGCGCACGGGUGAGUAACACGUGAGUAACCUGCCCCCGAGAGCGGGAUAGCCCUGGGAAACUGGGAUUAAUACCGCAUAGUAUCGAAAGAUUAAAGCAGCAAUGCGCUUGGGGAUGGGCUCGCGGCCUAUUAGUUAGUUGGUGAGGUAACGGCUCACCAAGGCGAUGACGGGUAGCCGGUCUGAGAGGAUGUCCGGCCACACUGGAACUGAGACACGGUCCAGACACCUACGGGUGGCAGCAGUCGAGAAUCAUUCACAAUGGGGGAAACCCUGAUGGUGCGACGCCGCGUGGGGGAAUGAAGGUCUUCGGAUUGUAAACCCCUGUCAUGUGGGAGCAAAUUAAAAAGAUAGUACCACAAGAGGAAGAGACGGCUAACUCUGUGCCAGCAGCCGCGGUAAUACAGAGGUCUCAAGCGUUGUUCGGAAUCACUGGGCGUAAAGCGUGCGUAGGCUGUUUCGUAAGUCGUGUGUGAAAGGCGCGGGCUCAACCCGCGGACGGCACAUGAUACUGCGAGACUAGAGUAAUGGAGGGGGAACCGGAAUUCUCGGUGUAGCAGUGAAAUGCGUAGAUAUCGAGAGGAACACUCGUGGCGAAGGCGGGUUCCUGGACAUUAACUGACGCUGAGGCACGAAGGCCAGGGGAGCGAAAGGGAUUAGAUACCCCUGUAGUCCUGGCAGUAAACGGUGCACGCUUGGUGUGCGGGGAAUCGACCCCCUGCGUGCCGGAGCUAACGCGUUAAGCGUGCCGCCUGGGGAGUACGGUCGCAAGAUUAAAACUCAAAGAAAUUGACGGGGACCCGCACAAGCGGUGGAGUAUGUGGCUUAAUUCGAUGCAACGCGAAGAACCUUACCUGGGCUUGACAUGU
rnacentral:rRNA from 1 species